AAGCGAGAAGGCGUCUGUUCUCCGCGGUGCCAGCUUCGGGAAGGCCGGAUAAAAAUGGUCUCUGCCGCUGCUUCCCCGGCUCUUCACCGGAAGUUUUCUUCUCGUCGUCCUUGUCCGAAAUGGUAUUGUCCGACUUCUCGUCAUUUUCAAGCUCGUGGUCUUCUAACGCUUCCUCGGUGCUGUAGAAUUCCGAACCAUCCCCACCAGUAUCAAAAGUUCUUGCUUCUUCCUCGUGAUCGGGUAAACUAUGGUGCUCCGCUGCUUCAUCGUCUGGCGUGGUCUUUUCUUUCGAAAGCUUGUCAGCGAUGUUUCGCCUGAGCCUGGUGAAAGUGGACAUGUCCUGUCGAUCCACCAAGCUGAGAGCCUCAAGGCAGCCAACGUGAACUCGUCCUAUUCCAGGGA
rnacentral:lncRNA from 1 species